GGUCUGGAGGUGAAUGAGGACAAGACGAAAUAUCUCCUGUCAUCAAACAAACAGUCGGCGCAUUCGCGUCUUGGCUCCCACGUCACUGUUGACAGUCAUAACUUCGAGGUCGUAGAUAAUUUCGUAUACCUGGGAACCAGCAUCAACAACACGAACAAUGUCAGCCUCGAAAUCCAGCGCAGAAUAACUCUUGCCAACAGGUGCUACUUUGGACUGAGUAGGCAAUUGAACAGUAAAGUCCUCUCUCGACGAACCAAAAUCAAGCUCUACAAGUCGCUUAUCAUUCCCGUCCUGCUUUACGGUGCAGAAGCUUGGACGAUGUCAACAUCAGAUGAGACGACACUAGGAGUUUUCGAGAGGAAAAUUUUGCGCAAGAUUUAUGGUCCUCAGAACAUUGGCAACGGCGAAUACCGCAGACGAUGGAACGAUGAGCUGUACGAGUUAUACGACGACAUUGACAUAGUUCAGCGAAUAAAAAGACAGCGGCUACGCUGGCUAGGUCAUGUUGUCCGAAUGGACGAAAACACUCCAGCCCUGAAAGUGUUCGAUGCAGUACCCGCCGGAGGAAGCCGAGGAAGGGGAAGGCCUCCACUCCGUUGGAGGGACCAGGUGGAGAGCGACCUGGUUACACUUGGGAUCUCCAACUGGCGCCGAACUGCGAAGGAGAGAGACAGGUGGCGCACUAUCGUCGAUUCGGCUAUAACCGGCUAAACGGUUGCAACGCCAAUCACAUACAUACAUAUAAUUCAGACUCGUGGCCAAAUGUUUUGGGAAGUCGAUUGCCAGGUGAAUUCAGAUGCAUUCUUUAAAAUCACUGUCUGCUCCAUUCUAAUUGAGUUCUGCCAUGAAGUCUGGCGAUGUUUGUGGCCAUUGUAUUUGAAGAAAUUCCCAAUGAACGAAUUUCAAGUGCGGGAGUAUAUAAAUGGUUUUGAGUCAUUGGGUUUCCCUCAAGUGUUAGGAGCUAUAGAUGGUUGUCAUAUAGAAGUUCGCCCAGCAGCAGAAGAUGCUGUUGACUACUACAAUUACAAAGGCUGGUAUUCCACAGUUCUUUUGGCUUUGGUAGAUGCAAGAUGCCGCUUUAUAUACAUCAACGUUGGUAGUCCAGGCCGUUGUAAUGACUCUUCAAUAUUUGAGAGUUCAUCUUUAAAAAGCCAGUUGGCACAAUCUAGUUUAUUUAAAAACAUGAGUAGACAAAUUUCGUCAAUUAAUAUUCCAGUAGUUUUAUUGGGGGACUCUGCGUUCAAACUAGAUGAACAUUUGAUGAAACCCUACCCUUUUUGUGUAAACCAACCUUCGGAUAAAAAAAAAUUUAACUAUGUUCUCUCGAAAUGUCGAAGAGUGGUGGAGAAUGCUUUCGGUCUUUUAAAGGCAAGGUUUAGACGCGUUGGCAAAGGCUUGGAUAACCACAUGGUCAACACGAGAGCUGUUAUCAAAGCGUGCUGCAUUUUGCAUAACUUAUUAUAUGAGGAAAAUGAUGAAAUUAAUGAAAAGUGGAUUGCAGCACAACAAAUCGAAAACGAAACUCGAUAGUUGCCAGAAAACGUCUCUUACGUUUGUGGAUAUGUUAACCCAAGAGCAGAGGAAAUAAAACAAGCGUUUGUUUCAUAUUUCGCCUCAUUUGACGAUGACCGAGUCGAGCUACCCGAUGUAGAAGGGCCAACGUCAGGGCUCGGGAGCGGCGACUCCCCUUCUAUUUCUUCCUCCAGAUAAAUCACCUCCAUAUCACCUGAAAAUAUUCAUACAUAUUAAAAACUUUCUACA